UGAGAAAUAAUAAUAGAACUU
rnacentral:piRNA from 1 species